CGUUGAAACACCGGUUCUCAUACCAUCAGAGAAGUUAAGCAAUGACGAGCCUGAUUCGUACCUAGAUGAGUGACCCCUUGGGAAUAUCACGUGCUGUAAG